rnacentral:piRNA from 1 species
UGGCACAAACCUACUGUUUUGAAGCUGCCU